rnacentral:rRNA from 1 species
CCUACGGGGGGCAGCAGUGGGGAAUAUUGCACAAUGGAGGAAACCCUGAUGCAGCAACGCCGCGUGAUUGAAGAAGUACUUCGUUAUGUAAAGCUCUAUCAGCAGGGAAGAAAAUACCGGUGCCUGCGUAAGAAGCCCCGGCUAACUACGUGCCAGCAGCCGCGGUAAUACGUCGGGGGCAAGCGGUAUCCGGCUUUACUGGGUGUAAAGGGAGCGUAGACGGCAGUGCAAGGCUGGAGUGAAAGGCGGGGGCUUAACCCCCGGACUGCUCUGGAAACUGUAUGGCUGGAGUGCAGGAGAGGUAAGUGGAAUUCCGAGUGUAGCGGUGAAAUGCGUAGAUAUUAGGAGGAACACCAGUGGCGAAGGCGGCUUACUGGACUGUAACUGACGCUGAGGCUCGAAAGCGUGGGGAGCAAACAGGAUUAGAUACCCCUGUAGUC